rnacentral:misc_RNA from 1 species
AUAGCUAGCAAAGGGGAGUAACUUCUUUAGCCGGUCUAUGGUCAUUACGGUGUUAUGCACCCGGUAACUGGGCAUCACAGGUGGAUAUCAAAGUAGUUUUUGUGUUGUAAGUGAGACCUUGCCAGCGGG